rnacentral:tRNA from 1 species
AUUUAUAUAGUUUAAAUAAAACACUACAUUUUCACUGUAAAAAUAAUAUUUUGUAUAUUUAUAAAUA